rnacentral:rRNA from 1 species
CUAAGUCGGAUUAGCUAGUUGGUGGGGUAAAGGCCUACCAAGGCGACGAUCUGUAGCGGGUCUGAGAGGAUGAUCCGCCACACUGAGACUGAGACACGGCCCAGACUCCUACGGGAGGCAGCAGUGGGGAAUAUUGGACAAUGGGCGCAAGCCUGAUCCAGCCAUGCCGCGUGAGUGAUGAAGGCCCUAGGGUUGUAAAGCUCUUUUACCCGGGAAGAUAAUGACUGUACCGGGAGAAUAAGCCCUGGCUAACUCCGUGCCAGCAGCCGCGGUAAUACGGAGGAUGCAAGCGUUAUCCGGAAUGAUUGGGCGUAAAGCGUCCGCAGGUGGCUAUGUAAGUCUGCUGUUAAAGAGCAAGGCUCAACCUUGUAAAGGCAGUGGAAACUACAUAGCUAGAGUGCGUUCGGGGCAGAGGGAAUUCCUGGUGUAGCGGUGAAAUGCGUAGAUAUCAGGAAGAACACCGGUGGCGAAAGCGCUCUGCUAGGCCGCAACUGACACUGAGGGACGAAAGCUAGGGGAGCGAAUGGGAUUAGAUACCCCAGUAGUCCUAGCCGUAAACGAUGGAUACUAGGCGUUGCUUGUAUCGACCCGAGCAGUGCCGUAGCUAACGCGUUAAGUAUCCCGCCUGGGGAGUACGCACGCAAGUGUGAA